rnacentral:tRNA from 2 species
GGGGCAUUAGCGCAGCUGGGAGCGCACCACACUGGCAGUGUGGGGGUCAGGGGUUCAAGUCUCCUAUGUUCCACCA